CAGUAGCCGCGGUAAUACGGAGGGUGCAAGCGUUAAUCGGAAUUACUGGGCGUAAAGCGCACGCAGGCGGUCUGUCAAGUCAGAUGUGAAAUCCCCGGGCUUAACCUGGGAACUGCAUUUGAAACUGGCAGGCUAGAGUCUUGUAGAGGGGGGUAGAAUUCCAGGUGUAGCGGUGAAAUGCGUAGAGAUCUGGAGGAAUACCGGUGGCGAAGGCGGCCCCCUGGACAAAGACUGACGCUCAGGUGCGAAAGCGUGGGGAGCAAACAGGAUUAGAGACCCGAGUAGUCCCUGUCUCUUAUAA
rnacentral:rRNA from 1 species